rnacentral:rRNA from 1 species
ACGAACGCUGGCGGCGUGCUUAACACAUGCAAGUCGAACGGAAAGGCCCUGCUUUUGUGGGGUGCUCGAGUGGCGAACGGGUGAGUAACACGUGAGUAACCUGCCCUUGACUUUGGGAUAACUUCAGGAAACUGGGGCUAAUACCGGAUAGGAGCUCCUGCUGCAUGGUGGGGGUUGGAAAGUUUCGGCGGUUGGGGAUGGACUCGCGGCUUAUCAGCUUGUUGGUGGGGUAGUGGCUUACCAAGGCUUUGACGGGUAGCCGGCCUGAGAGGGUGACCGGCCACAUUGGGACUAAGAUACGGCCCAGACUCCUACGGGAGGCAGCAGUGGGGAAUAUUGCACAAUGGGCGGAAGCCUGAUGCAGCAACGCCGCGUGCGGGAUGACGGCCUUAGGGUUGUAAACCGCUUUCGCCUGUGACGAAGCGUGAGUGACGGUAAUGGGUAAAGAAGCACCGGCUAACUACGUG